AAAUUAGAUUUCUAUUUUAGUUUACCUUAUUAAAGGGUUAUUUAAGUAAAAAAAAAAUUUUAAUUUUAGAUUUUUAUAUUAUUAUUAAUGACAUCUCUAUAUAUUUGGUUUUGAGAAUUUAAAAUUAGGGAGUAGAAUUUAAUUAAUUUUUGAGAAGAAAAUAUUAGAAAAAUUUUAUAAGAUUAGUUAAGUUAGUGCCAGCAUCUGCGGUUAUACUAGCAGUUUAAAUAAUUUAUUAUACAAAGUAAAUAAUUUUUAAUUUUAAGGAAGGUGUAAUUUUUUAUAGAAUUAUAUUAGUUAUUUAAAUACUAAAAAAAAUUGAACUUGGAUUAGAUACCCAAUUAUAGAAGAGUUUGUGAUUAUAAGUUAAGGAAUUUGGCGGUGAACUAUAUUAUUAGCGGGUUAUGAAUUGUAAUGGUUAGUCCUCCUUUAUUCUUACUAUAAAUAUAUUAUAUAUAUCACUGUUGAAAAUUUUAUAUUAGUAUUAAUUAAUAUCUAGUAUUUAUUUGCAUGAGGUCAAGUAGGGAUGUAGAUUUUUAUAGAAUUUUUUGUAACACAUUGAUUAAUUUUUCUAAGAUAAGAAAAUUUUUAAAGUUGGAGUUAAAAGUAAUAAUAUGUUUAACAAAAUAUUUUGAAAAAAUUUUUGGUUUGUGUUCAUACUGCCCGUCAUUUUCAAUUUUAUUGAAGUAAGUCGUAACAAGGUAGAUUAACCGGAAGGUUAAUCUAAAUAAAA
rnacentral:rRNA from 1 species